rnacentral:lncRNA from 1 species
ACCUGUAGUUCAGAGUGGAAUAUUUUCACUGGGGUGUCAGACAAGUGCCAGUUUCAGCACAAGAGGAGAAAUAAGACCACAUGGCCGGGAACAAAGCAGGGGAGUGAGGCUGCUUCCCCAAUCAGCAGUGGCAAGCUGUCAAACUGGCUCAACUGUUGUGUGAAAUCUCAAGCUAAAAGAGGAUUUAGAUCCUUCAGUAAAGAAGCAGAGGAAAACAAUCAAGUUGCUGGUUUUCUGGUAGUGUUGAUUUAUUUUCUGUUCAUCCUGCAAAUAUUCUUUCUGAAAUUUACUUUAAAAAAAAUAAUAAUCAGUUGGGCUUUGAGGGGGAGCUUCCAAGUUAAUCUACAAAUAACACAGCAUAAUGAUCAGACCUUACAGCAGAGAGAGUUAUAGCAUCUGUUUUAUAGGACAGUGUUUCCAUCUGAGAAUGUCCCCAUUCAGAAAGGCUUAGUAAUUAAAGAAAUCCAAAAUUUUUCACAAGAUGCUACAAAAAUGAAACAAACCAUUUUAGGCUAUGAAGUUAGUGGGCCAUUUGCUGGUCUCCUUGCUGCAAAAUGACCUUUCUGACUACCUGAUGGCUUGCCCUGGAGAGGCCUUGGGCUCCAGCCAGCACUCCAGGCCAAGGCCCCUUGCUACAGCUGGCUGAGCCUCUGGGUUAGAACCUAGGCCCAGCAUCCCGCAGGUUAGGGCCUUCCAAACCCACCCUGCUCCCAGAGAAAGCCCCAGGGAAUAGUUCAUCUUGUCAGGAGCUCUCUUACUCUCUUGCCUGCUUUAGUGCUUGCAGUAAGCAGCUACAGCAAACCAGGGGAUCUGUGUGUGCACUCUAAGAUGGCCAAAAAAAUUGAUGGCCUUUGGAGUCAAUGGGACUAAGUUUGCUCAGGAGCAUGCCCUUAGUUAGCAUCCUGCAACAAAAAGGCCUGGAGUUUAGUAAGGAAAUGCUCUCAGGGAUUUAUAGUAUUGAUGACUGUAACCAAGCCUGGCAGCCCUUGGAUCUUACAGCUCUCUCUGGACCUAAUCAAAGGCCAUUGACGUAAACUAAAACAUUUGACUUCAGAGAACUGUGGAUCAAACUCUGCAUCUACACUGACUGAAUUUGCACUCCCCUCAGACACAACCUCACUUUAAAUUCUUUUCUUCUGACAGGCCUGUAGCCUCGUUCCUCUCUCUUAAGCUGGGAGGGCAUUUCACUGCUCUCUGUGAUGCCCAGAAGUGACUUUUCACUUCUCAUGGUGCAGUUUCACAUCAUACCCAAUUCAGUGUAACUGCUGGCUGACACCAGAAGUCCCAUCCCUGUUUACCUUAUGUCAGGUUCAGAUACUAUAUGAUCUUAGCAGCAUAAUUAGACAUAAAAUUAGCCUAAUCCCCCCCUUUCUCUCAGAAAGGAGCCACCGUC